CUUUUGUUACAGCACAUGGCGAGAAGAAGACGGGCUGUCAUCUCCGGAGAAGCGUCCUCCGAAGCGCAUCAGCAAAGACACGGCUUCACAAAACAACUGUGGAAAGGAGGGUUGAAGAAUUGGUGCUGUGUGAGUAUGUGUUUGCUAAUGUUUUUUU